AUCGAACGCUGGCGGCAUGCUUUACACAUGCAAGUCGAACGGUAACAGGCCUUCGGGUGCUGACGAGUGGCGAACGGGGGAGUAAUGCAUCGGAACGUACCCAGAGGUGGGGGAUAACGCAGCGAAAGCUGUGCUAAUACCGCAUGUGAUCUGAGGAUGAAAGCGGGGUACCGAGCAGCAAUGUUUGGCCUCGUGCCUUUGGAGUGGCCGAUGUCGGAUUAGCUAGUUGGGGGGGUAAAGGCCAACCAAGGCGACGAUCCGUAGCUGGUCUGAGAGGACGAGCGGGCACACUGGAACUGAGACACGGCCCAGACUACUGCGGGAGGGAGCAGUCGGGAAUUUUGGAGAAUGGGAGCAAGCCUGGUCCAGCAAUGCCGCGUGCGGGCAGAAGGCCUUCGGGUUGUAAACCGGUUUUGGCAGGAACGAAACGGUGUCCGCUAAUACCGGGCGCUAAUGACGGUACCUGCAGAAUAAGCACCGGCUAACUACGUG
rnacentral:rRNA from 1 species